rnacentral:lncRNA from 1 species
CGCCGUGCCCAGCCCCUCUGCCCUCCUGUUACCCCGGGACCUCGGGCCGCCAGCCCCUUCCACGUGCAGGCUCCUGCUGCUCUCGCGGGGGCUUUUCGUGUGUCCCCCGAGAUGUCGAGGAAGCCAGGAAACAAGGAGUGGACGUUCAGGCUGAUGGCCAGCUUCAAAGAUCGGGGCCUUUGAUUCCCAUCACUGGGAAGAAAGCCCUUCAGACAAGCCCCCCCAGGCUGCAGGUGCAUGGGGACCUUGAAGAACCCGUCCCCAUGGUCCCACGUCCAUGUGUCUCGAGACCUGUCGCAUCCUCGCUGAAACUCAAGAAUGUGAAACAGGUGAAGGGUCCAGCUCUCCCACGGGUGGCUGUGAUCCUUCUUCCUGGGGAGUCCUGCUGUCCCUGACUAGGGGCACCUGCCCACCUGUCAGCUGCUCCUCCCUCGGCUGGUCCUCCUGGGCUCUGAUGGCCCCAACAUUUCUAGCUCUUCUCACCCAUAGUGCCCCAAGCUUCAUGCAGCUGCGGCAGGUACUGUGCCCGUCUGCCUGGCUUUUGUGUGUUUGUGUCUUGACUCUAUAACCCGUGCACACGGACUGGGCUGUGGUGUAGUGGGGAUGGCAGGAGCCCUGGGAACAUGCGGGCUGGGCAAGGUGAGGCAGGCUGAUUGCUGUGGCUCCCCCACCACCAGCCCCAGCCACAACAAACUGACAAAGGAAGAGGACAGUGGUACCCUGGAGCCCUGGGGUCAGAGAGAGGAGGACAAAGCAGGACACCAUGUUCCUCCCCUCUGGAGGAUGCUGUAACAAGCUGUCAUCUCGGGAGGAGACACCAGGCCCUGACCAGACGCUGAACAUGCCAGCACCUUCAUCUUGGACUUUCCAGCCCCCAGAACUGUGAGAAAUAAAUUUCUGUUCUUU